CCUCGACUCUUAACUCGCCGGGGAUUCGCCGGAAAAAGCCUCGAAAGCUCCGGCCAAACUUUGAACUUGUCGAUCUCAGUGUUCUUACGUCCAAAAACUUCCCACGAAGCACUCCGAGCUUCCUUGGGACCUCACUAAGCUCACUAUAAGCUUAGAAUUCCCUGAAACACAACAUUUUACGUUCACAUGAACAGUGACCAAAAAUGGAGGUUCGGGUUUCACAUGAUUCCGAAGGUUUCACUUCCUAAAACUAGUACCAAUGAACUCAGAAUGACGAAAGGAUGAAGAUGCAUACCUUAGUUGCCUCGAUCCGUCGAGUUUUGGAGGAUUUGGGUGUAUGCCGUACGUUUUGGGUGAGAGAGAGUGAGAGAGAAAGAGGAAGUCGUGAGGGAGGAGAGAGAAUGAACUGAGAGAGAGACAAGGUACGGGAAAGAGGGAGAAAAUUGAGGGGUGUGGGAUCCUACCCAAUCCCCAACUACAAAAUUCUAACAUAAAUUUAAAUCUAAGUCUCCACUCUACUUACCAAAUUUUAGGAGCUUAGAUAUAACGAACAUAAAAAUUAUACCUUAGCCACGUAUUAGGGGCAUUUUCGUAAUUUCACAUCCUCGGAAUUAAAAAUUCCGGGACGGGCUGUGACAAUCUUCCCUCCUUAUAGAAUUUCGUCCCCGAAAUUCCAACAACCAAUCCAAACAUCUACUCAUACCAACCUCGGUAAAUCUCUCUUAUCCGAUUCUCUUUCUCCCACGUAAUUUUCUUCCACUGAAUGAUUUCCUUCACAAAGCUUUUACCACUUACUCUGUCUUAAUUCUCAAGACUUUCUUUUUCCAAUCCAAAGUCGUCCUUGGUUCCUUAUCAAUUCGAAUCCAAUUUAAUUCUCAAUAGUUGCACCAGAAUCUCAUGUGACGAAUCUGCCACCUAGUGACAACGUAUCGAACCCAAAAUACAUUAAGUACCUUAGCCAACUCUGAAGACAUCACCACUUGUAUGCAACUUUAUUGAUUCCUUUAGUGAUCAAAAAUGGUCUGAUGUGUCUAAAUCUUAUUUUGUCUCCUUUCCAACCCGAAUUAUACUUUUCUAUGGUGAACACUUCGAAAAUAUAAAACCAUUUGUCUUAUACACUCGAUUAGUGGCAUAUCCCUCUGUUAAUCUCUUUUGCCUCAAUCUGCUGACCAAAUAAAACUGUCGAAUGGUAUGAUAAAUCUUAUUACUUUUGGAAUAUUACAGAAGUUAAACAAUGUACUUCGUCCAAAAUUGCUUACUUUAAAUCCUUAGCAUUAGGCACAUACUUUUUGUUUUCUUGUAUCCACAUACCAUUUGAUUCACGAAUCAUGUACUCAUUCUUUUUCCCUUCUUUCUCUGCCUUGGUUAAUUCUUAAAUUUCCUCGUCAAACAUUUAAGUUUCGAGUACGACCUUACCAAAUAGGCCUAACUUGAAAUUUAACAAGUAUAACUUCUUCUCGAUCUUUCAUUCUUAACUUUUCUUCCAUUGGUUUUCAAUCCACAAGAUGAUACUCUUGGCAAACGUGCCAGAUAUUAAUCUUACUGUAGUCUUCUCACCAAGUGCUUCAGCUAGAACAAAUUUUACGAUCACCUUGAUCGUACAAUCAUGUUCAUUAAGCAAUACAAUUCACUUUCGCUGCCUCAUAUCAAAAUCCUUCCAAGUAAUGGAUAUUGAAGACUUUUUGGAUUCGUAAAAAUCUUGCAUUCUUACCAAAUAUAUAAUGUCUCCAUAACUUCACAGUAAGAAUGGUAAUCAUGACUUCCAAGUCACUCGUAGGGUAAUUCAUCUCAUGAGGUUCCAUUUAUCAUGAAACGUAUGCAAUCACCCUAACAUUUGCAUCAACAUGCCUCCAAUACCAUUCAAGAAACAUCACUAAAAAUUUAUGAUUACCACUAUUCUCUGGGAAUACCAAAUUACGUGCAUGAGUGAGGAAAUACUUCAGUUGUUGAAUCAUUUGCUCACAAUUUCCUUCCCACUCAUACAUAACCUCUUUUCUCAACAGUCUCGUUAAUGACAAAGCAAUGACUAAAAAUUCUUUCACAACCAUCCAAAAUAGCCUGGUAAGCUAAGAAAUUCCAAAUCUCAAUUACGACUCGUGGUUGUUCCAAAUUCUCAAUUUCUGCUAUCUUUUAAGAAUUCAUUUGAAUACCUUAAGCAGAUAUAACCAAUCUCAGAAUGCCACUUGAUUCAUCCAACAUUCGCAUUUGCUAAACUUAGCAUACAACCAACGUUCUCUCAAUCUUUGCUUCACCGACUUAAUACGUUUACAUGCUCUGCUCUGGCUCAGAAUAUGCCAGAAUAUCUUCAAUGAAAAUGAUAUCAAUUUAUCAAGGCAUUAUUGGAAUACUUCAUCCAUCAACUCAUAAAACAGCAUGAGUAUCCAUAUAGCAUCACCAAACUUCAUAAAGACUAUAACAAGUCCAGAAAACCAUCUUAUGAUCAACGUCACUUAUAAUAUUCAAUUGGUAGAACCAGAUCUCAAUUCAAUCUUUGAAUCUUCGCAAUUACUUCUGAGCUGGUUAAAUAAACAUCAGUACAUCACCAUGGAUAACGGUUCUCAAUCGUUACCCGACUCCAUUGUCUAUAAUCAAUGAACAAUCUCAAGAUCCAUUUUUCUUCCUCACCAACAAACUGGGCUCCUCAAAAGUGUUGUACUAGGUUGAAUAAAACUUUUAUCAACCAAUUCUCUCAACUGAAUUUCCAAUUCCCUUAACUCAUCCUGAACCAAUCUCCAAUAUAAAUUUAUACCUGGCAACAAAUCAAUAAUGAACCUCAUAUCUCUGCCUGAAGGCAAUCCAGGUAUACUUUCAAGGAAGACAUCAAGAAAAGUCUAACUCUUUCGACAUUAUUCACACUACUCCAAACAACAUCAUUUAGCACCACAUGAGCUAAGUAUUUUUGACAGCCUUUCGAAAACAAUCUCUUUGCUCUCACAGCAUAAAUAACAGCCUGACUCAAUCCAUUUUGCAUACUUACAAAAGUAAUCUCUGUUCAUCCAUAUCGAUGGAAAGUACUGGUUUCCCGUAACAUUCCGUCUUGUCACAAUUAUAACCAACCAAUCUAAUGGAACAGAAUUAACUGAUACAAUAUAUAUUCUAUUAUUAUUAAGCAUUCUAAAUAAGUACAAUACUAACAUAAAAUAAUCUACCGGUUUGCUUGCUUAACGAAUCCACGAAUGAGUUAUUAAUAUUACGGUCUGCAGCCCGCAAUACUGAUAAAUCAUCGUUGUCUCGAUAAGUAGGCAACCACUCUCAAAGAUAUAACAUUACUAUUUUGUUACUCAAUGCAAAAUACAUACACUCGUCUCAACUACAUUUAUUUACUACUCUCUAGGUAAUAACAUACAUAAUAAGAAAUAUAUCAGCCGAAGUCAACUAGAAUGACCAAUACGGCUGAUUCAACUCUUAUCUCAAUAAUACGUCGGCCGGAUCCACUCCGCGUGGUCGGUAUGGCUGAGCCUAUAACUCACCAUUUCUCAUGUGUCAAUCGAAUCCACUUCUCAUGGUCUGUACGACUGAACAUAUAACUCAUCAAAUCUCUCUGUACUCACAGUCAAUCCGACCAAACUACUAAAUUCAUAAACUUGUUGAAUCAACACUAUGAUAUCAUGGAAAAUUGUUGAGUACAACUGAUUCUAGGGACGAUUCACAAUUCUGUGUCCCCUCUGUUCACAUAAACACAUUCAUUAAUUUCACAUUUCCCAAAGUGUUAAUUUUUUUUUUUUUUUUUUUUUUUUUUUUUUUUUUUUUUUUUUUUUUUUUUUUUUUUUUUUUUUUGUACCUGCUGCACAAGGUACAUUUCCUUUACUCGAGACACCUUGUCUCAAAUAUCUGGGAUUACCAGUAUAUCCAUCACUUUUACUCUGACCAGCGACAUUAAAACCUCAGCUGGAAGAAUUAACUCUAGCUUCACUUCUUUCGAAGCUCUGAAUCUUUCUAUAUCCUUGAUAUGACGAAUCAUUGACUUUAUCGUCUUCUUUUGAGUCUCAUUCAUUUCUUAUUCUUCUUUAUUCUCGUUGCUCAUGUUCUCAGAGUCCUCAAGACUCAACAGCAUCUCGCAUACUCCUGAUAAGAAUUACAAUGGAUAGUGGUCACCCAAAAUACCACUUCCCUUUUGCCACCCAGCCUAAAACAACAUAACACCUCCACCAAAUUCACAACAAUAUCUGGAUAGAACGAGGCAAGUCUGAAAACUUUCUAUAAUAUCCCUCGAUCAUCACCUUCCUUGUCUCAUAUUUGUAAACUCUUGUUUACCACCAUCGAUAAAUGCCGGAGGGAUAAACUUUUCCUUUAAACAAGUCCUUAAACAAUUCUCAAUCGACUGAUUCCUAUGGUGACAACAAUUCAUACUCCUGUUUCCACCAGGAUACAAAUUCAUAACCAAAACCAGGUAGUCGUCUCGACCCCUUGUCAGAAGGAAAUUUCCUUUGACUUGCAUAAUCUGAAACAUCUUUUCCAAUUGGUUAAACCGUUACUUCGCUCCCUCAGGUUCAUCAUUUCAUAAGGUGAUUCAAAUUCAACUCAUAACCCAUCUUAAAAUGUCCCUUUUUAUAAUAGACUGAAUCACCAUAAUAAUAGUUUUCCCUAAACCGCUAUAUUAGGGAGACUAAAUUCCUCUAACUACGUGGUUUGCUACGAGGCGGUGUAGUUCUGACAGAAUUCACUAUAAACUUCUCAAGAUGUCCAAGAUUGCAACCAUGCUCUGAUACCAACUGACAUACCCCAUCCCGAAGGAGGGCAUGCUGGCCGUCACGUGAGAGUGACGUAACCAUUUGCACAGUACGGAAGCUUUAAGAUACAAUUUAAGUUGAUACACCCGAAGGUGAGUCCUAAUUUUGUCCAAUCUGUCAGAACACCGUCGAAUUCCUCGUAGUCACCACACCUUUGUGAUUCCUGAACCUGGAGGGGCGCAAAACCAAAAUUGAGUGGGUCAGUAAAACAAUUCUUUUCCAAAUCCAAACAAUUUUCAAAACGUUGUAACCCCUCUCCGUAAAACCUGUAUAUUUUCCCAGAAAUGUAAAAUAUAAAUAUACAUAUAUAUUCUCAAAACUUCAAGUCGUUAACUCAACAUUUUCAUAACAAUUAUGCCAUGCCACAUCAUCUCAACAUUUCUCAUAUUAAUUAUGCCAUGCCACAUCAUCUCAACAGUAAUAAGGUAUGAAUGCAUCAACAUAAUCAUAUCAGGUGCAAGAAAGUAAUCAACCGUAGGCCCUCUAAUAGCCCUGUACGGUUGAACCUAGAGCUCAAAAUCUAUCAUUAUCACUCUACCGGAGUCACCUCUGUGACCCGUCCGGCCUUCUGCACACAAGUUACGCUCUAGUGCUUCUCAUAAGUCAUCUGUGCACAUAAUCUAAGGUCACCCACCAGUCGGAAUCUCACUAACACUCUCGCGACUGGUCUGUCGUACCCACUCCGCGUGGACUGUACGACUAGCAUCUACUUGGAUCCAAGGCGAGCGUGCGAUGCGGUGAAUACUAUAAGCACUAAACCAUGGUGCAGGAUUUGAGCUCAAUAUAUAUCAUCAUCAUAAUAACAGUAAUUAAAUUCUUACCUGUGCGUCCACCGCACCAAUUCAUACAUAUGCAUCAUAAAUCAAUUCUUACCUGUGCGUCCACCGCACCAAUUCAUACAUAUGCAUCAUAUAUUAAUUCAUGCAUGGCAUUUCAACUCACAUUUCUAUAUACUUUUCAUAUCAAUUCUAUGCAUGGUAUUUCACUUCCCGUUUUUCCACAUAACUCAUAUGCAUUUCAUUUUAAACAUAUUUUCAUUUCAAUUCAAUUUCUGGGAAACGUCAAGUAUAUAUAUAUACGGAAAACAAAACUGCCCACUCACCUGGAGUUCGCCCUACAACUCCCUAGCACAAUACGCCAAGGCGUCAUGACGAUCGCCGCCUAGAAUAGUAAUCAAAUCCAGGCUCAGAAUUCAUAUCGAUAAAAUAUAACUUAUAUAAAAUACGUCACUACGUAGUUCGAUCCGGAAGAUCUGCCACUCAGAUUUUAAAUCCAUAACUUCCAGAGGUCCACAAUAUAUCUCUAGGAUAACAUCCUAAAAUUUCAUUACCAUCCAACGGUUGGAUCUCCGUCAAUUUCCAAAACUAAGUGACGGUUAACAUUUUAUAUUAUGGACUUACAAUUCCAAUUCCGGAAGAUCCGUAACUCGGAUUCCCAAUCCGUAAGUUCCAAUAAUCCUCAAAUAUUACGUAUUACAACGUAUCAAAGUUUGGUGACAAUCCAACGGUCGGAUCAUCAAUUCACAUUUUCACCAAAACUAUAAAACGUUAUUCGAACACCUAACCAACAAUCCUUAAUAACUUUCUCAUACGGUGUUCAAUUUAGGUAUAUGAAUAUACCACAGUGAUCUACUCGACGUCACGGACGUCGACAUAUUUUUAAAAUAUUUUUAUUUUUAUUUUUUUAUUUUACUGUAGCACCAUCUUCUUCCUUGGGUCGCCGGACUGGUUUUUCCGGCGGCCGUUUUCCGGGCAGUUUUUCAAAUUGCCAUAACUUUGUCAUUUCUCAACGAAAUCAAGUGAUUCAAAAACGAAAGUUGUAGCCCUUGAAGAGACAAAGAGAAUGGUACCUUGCACAACACCUAGUUCGCCGUGGUUUGGCCGGAAACUGCCUCGAAAGCCUCGGAGGUCGCCGGAAACUGGGUAUUUUUCAAAUGAGUAUAACUUCUUCAAUACUCAACGAAAUUGAGUGAAACAAAAAGGAAAGUUGUAGUACUUGACGAGACGAAGAGAUUGAUACCUACCUCGACUCUUAACUCGCCGGGGAUUCGCCGGAAAAAGCCUCGAAAGCUCCGGCCAAACUUUGAACUUGUCGAUCUCAGUGUUCUUACGUCCAAAAACUUCCCACGAAGCACUCCGAGCUUCCUUGGGACCUCACUAAGCUCACUAUAAGCUUAGAAUUCCCUGAAACACAACAUUUUACGUUCACAUGAACAGUGACCAAAAAUGGAGGUUCGGGUUUCACAUGAUUCCGAAGGUUUCACUUCCUAAAACUAGUACCAAUGAACUCAGAAUGACGAAAGGAUGAAGAUGCAUACCUUAGUUGCCUCGAUCCGUCGAGUUUUGGAGGAUUUGGGUGUAUGCCGUACGUUUUGGGUGAGAGAGAGUGAGAGAGAAAGAGGAAGUCGUGAGGGAGGAGAGAGAAUGAACUGAGAGAGAGACAAGGUACGGGAAAGAGGGAGAAAAUUGAGGGGUGUGGGAUCCUACCCAAUCCCCAACUACAAAAUUCUAACAUAAAUUUAAAUCUAAGUCUCCACUCUACUUACCAAAUUUUAGGAGCUUAGAUAUAACGAACAUAAAAAUUAUACCUUAGCCACGUAUUAGGGGCAUUUUCGUAAUUUCACAUCCUCGGAAUUAAAAAUUCCGGGACGGGCUGUGACA
rnacentral:lncRNA from 1 species